GACGAACGCUGGCGGCGUGCUUAACACAUGCAAGUCGAACGGAAAGGCCCUGCUUUUGUGGGGUGCUCGAGUGGCGAACGGGUGAGUAACACGUGAGUAACCUGCCCUUGACUUUGGGAUAACUUCAGGAAACUGGGGCUAAUACCGGAUAGGAGCUCCUGCUGCAUGGUGGGGGUUGGAAAGUUUCGGCGGUAGGGGAUGGACUCGCGGCUUAUCAGCUUGUUGGUGGGGGAGUGGCUUACCAAGGCUUUGACGGGUAGCCGGCCUGAGAGGGUGACCGGCCACAUUGGGACUGAGAUACGGCCCAGACUCCUACGGGAGGCAGCAGGCGAGAAUAUUGCACAAUGGGCGGAAGCCUGAUGCAGCAACGCCGCGUGCGGGGUGACGGCCUUCGGGUUGUAAACCGCUUUCGCCUGUGACGAAGCGUGAGUGACGGUAAUGGGUAAAGAAGCACCGGCUAACUACGUG
rnacentral:rRNA from 1 species